AUUACUCAUCACUAUCUUCCCGAUAUCAAAACCGUGUUAUUGAAAUAUUAACACUCAUUAACACUCCUAUCUACUGCGCCUCCGAUAGCAUGAAGCUAUCAAGCGUUUGCAGCACAAACAUCAAACAAUGUAAAUGCUUUU
rnacentral:sRNA from 1 species